rnacentral:rRNA from 1 species
UACAGAGGGUGCGAGCGUUAAUCGGAAUUACUGGGCGUAAAGCGUGCGUAGACGGUUAUUUAAGUCGGGUGUGAAAGCCCCGGGCUCAACCUGGGAAUUGCAUUCGAGACUGAAUAGCUAGGGUACGGUAGAGGGAAGUGGAAUUUCCGGUGUAGCGGUGAAAUGCGUAGAUAUCGGAAGGAACAUCAGUGGCGAAAGCGACUUUCUGGGCCAGUACCGACGUUCAGGCACGAAAGCGUGGGGAGCAAACAGG